rnacentral:rRNA from 1 species
AGAAUUUGAUCCUGGUUCAGAUUGAAUGCUGACAGCGUGGAUGAGGCAUGCAAGUCGAACGAGGCUAAGAGGCAUUUUUUGUCGAUUGGCCUAGUGGCGAAAGGGUUAGUAAUACAUGGGUCAUCUACCUCUCACACUGGGAUAACGUUUGGAAACGGACGCUAAUACCGGAUGUGGUGAAGAUGAGCGAGCUCGUAUUUAUUAAAGAGGGGGACCGUAAGGCCUCUUGGUGAGAGAAGAGCCCAUGGGAUAUCAGCUAGUUGGAGUGGUAAAGGCACACCAAGGCGAAGACGUCUAGGCGGAUUGAGAGAUUGACCGCCAACACUGGGACUGAGACACUGCCCAGACUUCUACGGAAGGCUGCAGUCGAGAAUCAUUCGCAAUGGGCGAAAGCCUGACGAUGCGACGCUGUGUGAACGAAGAAGGCCUUCGGGUUGUAAAGUUCUUUCGCGUGGGAACAAUGGAAGUUGGUGUAUAACCAACUGACAUGAGGGUACCAGGUAAAGAAGCACCGGCUAACUCCGUGCCAGCAGCUGCGGUAAUACGGAGGGUGCGAGCAUUAAUCGGAUUUAUUGGGCGUAAAGGGCGCGUAGGCGGGAAGACAAGUCAGAUGUGAAAUACCGGGGCUCAACUCCGGGGCUGCAUAUGAUACUGUUUUUCUAGAGGAUAGACGGAGGAAAUGGAAUUCCACAAGUAGCGGUGAAAUGCGUAGAUAUGUGGAAGAACACCGGUGGCGAAGGCGAUUUUCUAGUUUAGACCUGACGCUAAGGCGCGAAAGCAAGGGGAGCGAACAGGAUUAGAUACCCUGGUAGUCCUUGCCGUAAACGAUGCAUACUUGGUGUAGCUGGACUCAACCCCGGCUGUGCCGGAGCUAACGUGUUAAGUAUGCCGCCUGGGGAGUACACUCGCAAGGGUGAAACUCAAAAGAAUUGACGGGGACCCGCACAAGCAGUGGAGCAUGUGGUUUAAUUCGAUGCAACGCGAAGAACCUUACCCAGGCUUGACAUGCAGUGGACAGCACCAGAAAUGGUGCCUCCUUCGGGCCGCUGCACAGGUGCUGCAUGGCUGUCGUCAGCUCGUGCCGUGAGGUGUUGGGUUAAGUCCCGCAACGAGCGCAACCCUUAUCGUUAGUUGCCAGCACGUAAUGGUGGGAACUCUAACGAGACUGCCUCGGUUAACGAGGAGGAAGGUGAGGAUGACGUCAAGUCCGCAUGGCCCUUAUGUCUGGGGCUACACACGUGCUACAAUGGCCGGUACAGAAGGCGGCAAAACCGUGAGGUGGAGCAAAUCCCAAAAACCGGUCCCAGUUCGGAUUGAAGUCUGCAACUCGACUUCAUGAAGUUGGAAUUGCUAGUAAUGGCGUGUCAGCAACAACGCCGUGAAUACGUUCCCGGGUCUUGUACACACCGCCCGUCACAUCAUGGGAAUUGGUUUUACCCGAAGUCGCUGACUUAACCGCAAGGGAAGAGGCGCCAAAGGUAAGGCUGGUGACUAGGAUGAAGUCGUAGCAAGGUA